UACUAUAAGGCACCUGUUAUUGCGAAGUAUUACCAGUCACAUGCUCCUUCAAAGCACUACUACAAGGCACCUAUUGUUACGAAGUAUUACAAGUCACACGCUCCUUCAAAGCACUACUACAAGGCACCUGUUGUUACGAAGUAUUACAAGUCACCUGCUCCUUCGAAACACUACUACAAGGCUCCAGUGGUAGUGAAGUAUUACAAGUCACCAGCUCCUUCAAAGAAUUACUACAAGGCACCUGUCCCUUCAAAGGAGUACUACAAGUCGCCAGCUCCUUCAAAGUACUACUACAAGUCGCCAUCACCUGCAAAGUACUACAAGUCGCCUGCUCCAUCAAAGCACUAUUACUACAAGUCCCCAUCCCCUUCAAAAUAUUACAACUCACCCGCUCCUUCCAAAUACUAUAAAUCACCUGCACCACAAAAAUAUUACAAGUCACCAGUUUACUACAAGUCUCCUCCCCCACCACCAACUUAUUAUGAGAAAUCAC
rnacentral:lncRNA from 1 species